UAGCCGUAAACGAUACUCGCUAGGUGUCGGCCACGGUGCGACCGUUGUCGGUGCCGUAGGGAAGCCGUGAAGCGAGCCACCUGGGAAGUACGGCCGCAAGGCUGAAACUUAAAGGAAUUGGCGGGGGAGCACAACAACGGGUGGAGCUUGCGGUUUAAUUGGAUUCAACGCCGGAAAUCUUACCGGGACCGACAGCAACAUGAAGGCCAGGCUGAAGACUUUGCCGGAUUAGCUGAGAGGUGGUGCAUGGC
rnacentral:rRNA from 1 species